CACUGUUUGGACGAGGGGCCCCUCUCGGGUUACCGAAUUCAGACAAACUCCGAAUGCCAAUUAAUUUAACUUGGGAGUCAGAACAUGGGUGAUAAGGUCCGUGUUCGAAAGGGAAACAGCCCAGACCACCAGCUAAGGUCCCAAAAUAUAUGUUAAGUGGAAAAGGAUGUGGCGUUGCCCAGACAACUAGGAUGUUGGCUUAGAAGCAGCCAUCAUUUAAAGAGUGCGUAAUAGCUCACUAGUCGAGUGACACUGCGCCGAAAAUGUACCGGGGCUAAACAUAUUACCGAAGCUGUGGAUUGUCCUUUGGACAAUGGUAGGAGAGCGUUCUAAGGGCGUUGAAGCAUGAUCGUAAGGACAUGUGGAGCGCUUAGAAGUGAGAAUGCCGGUGUGAGUAGCGAAAGACGGGUGAGAAUCCCGUCCACCGAUUGACUAAGGUUUCCAGAGGAAGGCUCGUCCGCUCUGGGUUAGUCGGGUCCUAAGCUGAGGCCGACAGGCGUAGGCGAUGGAUAACAGGUUGAUAUUCCUGUACCACCUAUAAUCGUUUUAAUCGAUGGGGGGACGCAGUAGGAUA
rnacentral:rRNA from 1 species